UCUAUCUAUAAAACUACUGUUAGCAUCAAACGUUUUGCCGUUAAGUCAGCGUUAACAUUAGCGAACGUUAAUUAGCUAAUUUAACUGAUGUGAAAAUGUCAAAUUUCAAAGCCAGUGAAGAUGGAACACGGCAACAGUGUUCAUUAACCAAGGCGGUGGAGGAUGUCAGCCAACGCGGGUACGCACAAACUGAGGCCCUGAAAGAAAGACAGAAGACACUCAGCUCCCUGAAGGUGAGUCUCUCAGAUGUUGAGAAGAAAGCUGAGGAGGUAGAGCAGGAGCUGAGAUCUAAGGUGAGGGAGCUCCUCAUGCUGGAGGGUGAGGUGGAGCACCUGGAACUGCAGACACGAGUCCUGCACGAUCGCUGCGCAUCCAUCAGCGCAGACAACACAGAACUCCAGAUUCGUAUAAGCGAGGAGGAGGAGAAGGCUUGCACGGCACUGGCAGGGUUCAACACUUAUCGAAACAAGAUGGAGGGCCACAGAGCAGCGGUUUUGCAUGCAGAGAGCCAGACGGAGGCCCACAAAGAGCUGGAGGAGAAGAGAGCGCUGGUCAGGAUGUUGACACAGACGAAAGAGGAGCUAAAGGAGGAUUUGGAGAAUCCAAAUGGAAACACAGUGCAGAUGGCAAAGAGAGAGAUUAAUGCUCUAAAAGGCGAGAUUACAGUGAUGAGGAAGAGUGUAGCUGAGAGGAGAGAACAAUUGAGAAAAGAGUUUGUGACCCAGAGCCAGAUAAAGAAAGACAUACAGAUCCAAAACAGGCGCUAUGAAGCCAUCAUCAAGCGCCUCCGCUGCCAACUGAGCAAGGCCCAGGCUGUCCACAGGCAAAUGUCAGGAGAUAUCUACCACAUGGAGAGACAGAUAGCCAAGCUCAAACGGCAGCUGGAGUCAUCACAGGACUCAGUGGUGAUUAUACUGUAGUGUCAGCUCACAGGGAGCGAGAGAAGGUGCUGAGAGGAGGAAAAGUGGAGGAUAAGAGAGGGCUGUAAUCCCCCAUAAUCCCCUUCUCUCUCCCAGUGGGGCGCGAGCUCCGUGCCUCUUUCAGCGCUUCUGUUUGCAGUUUGUUUUGAAUUUUCAGAGGGCUCUCUCGCUUGGCGGCGGGGCACGUGCCUCUGAGAAAUGUGACUUUGGAUAGAGGACGAAUGAGGACACACAGGAGAACAGACCUGCUACAGGAAAUACGCACAUAGACACCGACCUUGAGCUUCACACAAAAUAAAUCAAACAGUUAAGUGCUCUUUCUAGAGUUAAUAUUUUGCUCCAACGUUCGACAAUAAAAGGGCGGCAGCAGGAAAUCCGCUCCACAGCAGAAGAGGGAAGAUGAGGAGAUACGAGAAGAAGAGAUUUUCUCAUUUUCUGCAAUGGCAACCUCAAGAGACCAGAGUGUAAAACAGCCACAAGAUAAGCUGCAUUUUGAGUAAAGAUGGAAAAAUGUGCCAAAAUCAACUUUGAUUUCCUUUUUUUGACAGCUUGUAAGUGUUGCUGAGAUAGUACAGGACCUUUUUCAUUUGGAUUUAGCCACAAAAAGCCAUAAAAAACACGUUUAUUAGUCUGUAUUUUUUUUAUAAAUGCUGUUCAGACAUGUUGUAUUUUAUUAUUGGAAAUGGAGAGACCACUUUUUUUUUUUACAUUCUCUCCUCAGAGGCAUUCAUAUUGUUCCCCUCGGUUGUGAACAUACAAAAUGACUAAAGUUGCUGUGUGAAGACUGAAAAAAAAAGUUUCACACCUUGGCUCAGUGGUAAGUUACAAAAAUUGUCAGACACCGGAAAUGGGGUUUCAGAUGUCAUUGAACAAUGCAAAGCACUUCGUUUGAAGCAUACUGGGGCCAUUACAACACUUCCUUACACAGCAAAAUAACUCCUGGGGUUCAUUGUCCAGCACGGUGAUGAUAAAUGCAUCUCCGUUAAAUUCGUGACUCUUCAACAGACAUCUCGUUCUUCAAGACUCUGUGCAGGUGAAGGAGCUCAUAUGUUCAGCGUGACUAUCCUCUAGACCCUCAUGCGCCGUUAAAGUGCAGCCGCCUGUUCACACCUCCCCUCAGCUGUUUCCCAAAAACACAGACGUGACCCAGAUAUAGCCGCUGGACAUCCAAUUAAAUGUGACCAGUGUAGUAGAACUGGUAAUUUCCAGGGGAACGUAAACACACACACAGACACACACACACAUUUUGAGGGUUUCUCCUAUUGGCGUCACAUGGUGCAUCAAAUGAGUCGCCCUUCGUCUGUAUUUUGCAUGUAUCCGAAUGUUCAGAUCAGCUCAGAGAUGUACUCGCAGGCCUAUGGCGGCAGCUGACUUGAAUUUAAAAAAAACAGCGCUGAUUGAGGGCACAUGCAUGAGUCUGUGUGUGUGUACAUGUGACUGAAAACAAGACUCCACAUGCGGUCUAUUUGUGUGGCAGCCUCGGACAUAUACGCAGACCACUGAAUCAACUGAUCACGUGUGUGUGUGUGUUAUCAAAGAGUUCUCCCAGUUAAACAGAAUAUCAGAUUAAAACGUCAGAUUGAAAUUUAAACAAAACAUCUCUGACCCCAUAAUUUUUGGUGCAGUUUAAAGAGUAGUAUCACUGUUUUCCAACCCAAAAAGUCCUCCCAACAACCUCUCCUUAACCAUGAAUUCAUCUAUUUUAUUGGCUCACAACCAAAAAAAAAUUGAAUCAGCCU